UACGUAGGGUGCGAGCGUUAAUCGGAAUUACUGGGCGUAAAGCGUGCGCAGGCGGUUGUGCAAGACAGAUGUGAAAUCCCCGGGCUCAACCUGGGAAUUGCAUUGUGACUGCACGGCUAGAGUGUGUCAGAGGGGGGUAGAAUUCCACGUGUAGCAGUGAAAUGCGUAGAGAUGUGGAGGAAUACCGAUGGCGAAGGCAGCCCCCCUGGGAUAACACUGACGCUCAUGCACGAAAGCGUGGGGAGCAAACAGG
rnacentral:rRNA from 1 species